CUUGAGAAUCUCGGCUGUGAGUAACUGGCUUGUUGUCAUUAUGUUCCAGAAGUAGGUGGCGGAACUGACUGUUAGGCACGUCCUUAAUGACAUGCCAUUUAACAGGAAAUUGCCCACUCCAUCGAUCCUGCUGCCAGUGCUCCGCAUUGUUCUCAAAAUCAACAGGUCCAACCAUCUCAGCAACCCCACAAAAUUGUCCACUAGCAUUCACCUAGAGUCAUACCCAAAUAUUAAAAGCUCAAAAGUUUAAGCAUGCCUAUCAUACAGAAGAUGUAUACUUAUUAGCAUGCAUUGGUGUUUACUAAGUUUUCAAAUACCGUGCUAAAAAGAGAUACAAAUUUAGAAAAACAUAAGUGUAAAAAGAAAAAUAACUGAAAGACAAAUAGAAGCCUUCUGAGAAUAACGACAAAGGUUGUUCUGUAUAUGAACCAUUCUCCAGGAGAGUGAUGCAUUCAUUUAACUCACAAGCCAAUAUAAGAAUUGAAGGAACAUACCGAGAAAAAGAGAAAAACAGGACAAUC
rnacentral:lncRNA from 1 species